AUUGAACGCUGGCGGCAGGCCUAACACAUGCAAGUCGAACGAUUGGCGGACGUGUGUGUAAUGUCUGGGACCCUGCCUGAUGGAGGGGAAUACCUACUGGAAACGGUAUCUAAUCCCGCAUACCAUCAGAUGUGCCCAGAUGGGAUUUGCUAUGUGGUGGGGUAACGGCUCACCAAGGCGACGACCCCUAGCUGUUCUGAGAGGAGGACCAGCCACACUGGAACUGAGCCACGGUCCAGACUCCUACGGGAGGCAGCAGUGGGGAAUAUUGCACAAUGGGCGCAAGCCUGAUGCAGCCAUUCCGCGUGUAUGAAGAAGGCCUUCGGGUUGUAAAGUACUUUCAGCGGGGAGGCGUUACCCGCAGAAGAAGCACCGGCUAACUCCGUGCCAGCAGCCGCGGUAAUAC
rnacentral:rRNA from 1 species